CUGGCCCUGAAUCAAGGCCAGCAGCUUCCUGACGCUGUUGGUUUCCAGCAGGAGCCUAAAGAGAUGUCUUUCUAUGGCCUAUUGGCCAUUUCAGAAGUUGGGCUGUGAAAUGGUCAAUUCAUUAGAAAGAAACAGCU
ensembl:snoRNA small nucleolar RNA SNORA2/SNORA34 family